GCGGAUGUGGUGAAAUGGUAGACACGCUCGUUUCAGGUGCGAGUGCUUCACGGCAUGUAGGUUCGAGUCCUAUCAUCCGCA
rnacentral:tRNA from 1 species